UGGGGAAUAUUGGACAAUGGGCGAAAGCCUGAUCCAGCCAUGCCGCGUGUGUGAAGAAGGUCUGCGGAUUGUAAAGCACUUUAAGUCGGGAGGAAGGGCAGUAAGCGAAUACCUUGCUGUUUUGACGUUACCGACAGAAUAAGCACCGGCUAACUCUGUGCCAGCAGCCGCGGUAAUACAGAGGGUGCAAGCGUUAAUCGGAAUUACUGGGCGUAAAGCGCGCGUAGGUGGUUCGUUAAGUUGAAUGUGAAAGCCCCGGGCUCAACCUGGGAACUGCAUCCAAAACUGGCGAGCUAGAGUAGGGCAGAGGGUGGUGGAAUUUCCUGUGUAGCGGUGAAAUGCGUAGAUAUAGGAAGGAACACCAGUGGCGAAGGCGACCACCUGGGCUCAUACUGACACUGAGGUGCGAAAGCGUGGGGAGCAAACAGG
rnacentral:rRNA from 1 species